rnacentral:rRNA from 1 species
GACGUAGGGUGCGAGCGUUGUCCGGAUUUAUUGGGCGUAAAGAGCUCGUAGGCGGCUUGUUGCGUCGGCUGUGAAAACCCGCAGCUCAACCCCGGGCCUGCAUUCGAUACGGGCAGACUAGAGUUCGGUAGGGGAGUCUGGAAUUCCUGGUGUAGCGGUGAAAUGCGUAGAUAUCGGAAGGAACAUCAGUGGCGAAGGCGACUUCCUGGACCAAUACUGACGCUCAGGUGCGAAAGCGUGGGGAGCAAACAGG